rnacentral:rRNA from 1 species
UACGUAGGGGGCAAGCGUUGUCCGGAUUUAUUGGGCGUAAAGAGCGUGUAGGCGGCUAGGUAGGCGGGUUGUGAAAACUGGAGGCUCAACCUUCAGACGUCGACCCAAACCCCCUGGCUAGAGUCCGGAAGAGGAGAGUGGAAUUCCUGGUGUAGCGGUGGAAUGCGCAGAGUAUCAGGAGGAACACCGGUGGCGAAGGCGGGUUCUCUGGGCAUUACCUGACGCUGGAGG